rnacentral:tRNA from 2 species
GGCGCUGUGGCUUAGUUGGUCAAAGUGCCUGUCUAGUAAACAGGAGAUCCUGGGUUCAAAUCCCAGCAGUGCCA